rnacentral:rRNA from 1 species
UACGUAGGGGGCAAGCGUUGUCCGGAUUUAUUGGGCGUAAAGAGCGUGUAGGCGGCCAGGUAGGUCCGUUGUGAAAACUGGAGGCUCAACCUCCAGCGGUCGAUGGAAACCAUCUGGCUAGAGUCCGGAAGAGGAGAGUGGAAUUCCUGGUGUAGCGGUGAAAUGCGCAGAUAUCGUGAGGAAGACCAGUGGCGAAGGCGAUUCUCUGGGCAAUUCCUGACACUGAGGCACGAAGGCCAGGGGAGCAAACGGG